UACGUAGGGUCCGAGCGUUGUCCGGAAUUAUUGGGCGUAAAGGGCUCGUAGGCGGUCUGUUGCGUCGGGAGUGAAAACUUACAGCUUAACUGUGAGCGUGCUUUCGAUACGGGCAGACUUGAGGCAUUCAGGGGAGAACGGAAUUCCUGGUGUAGCGGUGAAAUGCGCAGAUAUCAGGAGGAACACCGGUGGCGAAGGCGGUUCUCUGGGCAGUAACUGACGCUGAGGAGCGAAAGCGUGGGGAGCGAACAGG
rnacentral:rRNA from 1 species